UACGGAGGAUGCGAGCGUUAUCCGGAUUUAUUGGGUUUAAAGGGUGCGUAGGCGGUCCGGAAAGUCAGCGGUAAAAGCCCGGGGCUCAACCCCGGCGAGCCGUUGAAACUGUCGGACUAGAGACGGCGAGAAGUACGCGGAAUGCGCGGUGUAGCGGUGAAAUGCAUAGAUAUCGCGCAGAACUCCGAUUGCGAAGGCGGUUUACUGGACCACAACUGACGCUGAGACACGAAAGCGUGGGGAGCAAACAGG
rnacentral:rRNA from 1 species